UCUGCCUCUAUAAAGCAUUAAAAGUUAAAAGUUUAUAAAUAAUCUUUUUCAUUGACAAUGUCUAAAACAGCUUACAUAGUGCUAUCAGCAUCAGUGACUUUUACAGUUGGAGUAAUUUACUAUGUUCACAAAAGUCAAAAAGAAGAUAGAGAACGCCUCAGAGAGGGUGUUAUUAAUGACUUGGCAAGACAGCAGAGAAAAGCUCAAAAUAUUCACCAGCUCUCACUGCAGGCAGAUCUAACUAAGAUUCUUAGGGAUCAACAAGCACAACAGGAUGAGAUCAGUCAACAUUCUAAAUUAAAUGAACAAACUUUAAGAUGAUAAUGAUUUUACUACGUACUAUCCUAGUUACAUUAUUAAUUAGUCAAAAUAUUUGUAAGAUAUAAUAAAAUUAUUACAUUUCUUGCCAUUAUAUGGGAGAAUAAGAAAUAAUGAAAUUAUCAAAUUGCUUCCAAUAAGCAAUAAGGCGGAUUCCAGUAAUUUCAUUUCAUUAGUCUUGCUAUAUUAAAAACAAAAGAAAAAUUGUUGAACAUGUAAAUAUUUUUAAAAUGUGAUACAUGUAUAUUCUUAAUUAUUGUAUUACUUCACCAUUACUAUCUUUUAGUGUUUUUUUUUGUAGGUUGUAGGCACUAGUUUAUUAACUCUAAUAGUUUUUUCCAAAUACAUCAUUGUUCUGCUGCUUGCAAAUAUCGCUGUCAAACAUAUUAUUUAGCAAACAUAAAAUAUCUGCUUGUUUUAGUUUUAAAAUCUAAGUAGCAUUUAUUUUAUUUCCUUUUCAAAAACAUACUAAGUUUGAUAGUAAGUAAGAUACCAGUUGUUGUGGAAAUUUGUCACAGAUUUUUUUUUGUUGAGUUUAAUUGGAAACAUAUUAUGAGUGGUACAAAAAAAGAAAUGGCAUAUGGUAUAACAUAAUAAGAUAUAUCCAUGAAACAUUAGGCUCUAGACAUUAGUGCAUAUAAUUUUUUUGCAACAUACUUGUAAAGUAUUUCAUAUAUGUAAAGUAUAAAUAAAACAUUUUAUUACUUACUGACAACUUCUUCAAACAAUGCAGCAACUUCAACAAUCAUUUUUGGAUGAUUUAAAGUUUGUUCAUUAUUUAGUAAUGUAACAGCAUAGAAAUAUCAGAUUUAAUUGGUGGGUACUAAUAAAGAUGCCCUUAUGAAUCCUAGCUACAGACUUGCUAAAAUGUACAUAAAAAUAUUUUCAUCCAGACUUGUUUUGUUGCAGUCAGUACAGAAUGUAUGUGGAUGGUUUGUGAUUUCAGUAAUUUAUAUGUCUUGAAAGUGUGAAUGACAUAUUGAUGUAUUGUACUAAAAACUGUAUUUUGAAUAAGAAAUUGGUACCUACAAAAAAAAAAGCAACAUUUCUCUGCAUUAAAAUAAUAUGAUGAAUUCAUAUGUAAUUCCAUUUUAAUUGGGGGUAAAAAUGUUUGUUUUAAUUUCAGAGUCUAUCAAUAUACAUUUAUAGUUGUUUGUUUUAACAUUGUUGCACAGUGUUAAAAAUUAAAUAAAUUUAGGUAAAACGUGUGUUUCUUUUACAGCCUAGUUUCAUUUAGAUAGUUCAGCAACUACUGUAAUCAUCACAUUUUGGUAAUUAGUAUUCCAUUUAUUUUUAUUUUUUUAAAUCAUUCUGCUUGCAUUGAAGAUUUCGCCCAAGACUUUUGCAUGGACAGCCAAUUGCCUCAUAAUUUUACUUUUAAGUGUAACAGGUAUCUGUCAGGAAAUUUUCAUAAAAUUGCAUCAAAAUAACAGUAAGGCAAAGAAUUUUUAUAACUAAGAAAUAGAGAUAUACCCCUUCCUUUCUGCUCUGUUACUACUCCGGUCUUUUUAGGCCCACCUGACUUCAUGUAUUGAUAUUAUUUAAUUGGGUAUCCCCUCCAACAUGUCAGCCUGCUAUGUUACUGGUUAUUUAGAAUCUACUUUCUUUAGUAUCAGCAGGGUUUUUAUUUUUUAAGUCUCAUAUGCGUUCUAUAUGUUCUAGCAAAGCAAAUUCAGAUUGUACUGGAUUAGAUAUUUAUUUCAAAAUGUCAUCAACACAAAUAAUAAAAGAUUUUAUGCCACACAUUUUAUUUUGCCCAGGUGCGUCGCAUUAGGUUUACUUUGUAUUAGAUCUAUGUGUAUAAACAGAAACUCGUUAUCA
rnacentral:sRNA from 1 species